rnacentral:rRNA from 1 species
UCCGUAUUGUUCAAUCUUUACUCGGAAUCACUGGGCGUAAAGAGCGUGUAGGCUGUUUAGCAAGUCAGAAGUGAAAUCCUAUAGCUCAACUAUAGAACUGCUUUUGAAACUGCUUAACUAGAGUGUGGGAGAGGCAGAUGGAAUUUCUGGUGUAGGGGUAAAAUCCGUAGAUAUCAGAAGGAAUACCGAUUGCGAAGGCGAUCUGCUGGAACAUUACUGACGCUGAGACGCGAAAGCGUGGGGAGCAAACAGGAGUAGAAACCCCAGUAGUCC